CUGUGUUGGUGUUUCUUCCGUGUCUCUCCGUAUAACUGAAAGGCGCAUAUAAACGUGUCCUGUGCUUUGAAAAGUUAAGCAAGAAUAACGAGUGUUUAUAGUAGAAAGAGGUAAUUGGGAGACUCUUGAAGGUGAUUAAUUUGUCUCUGUCUAGAUGUCACAUGUCAGUAUAGGAUAAGGACACACCGACUGAGUUCUAGUGUUUGGACAUGAACCUGGACCGACCAAUAUGAAUAAUAAAGAGACAGCUGGCACUGGGGACAGUCAUACAAGAGAGACUGAUGCAAGUGUUGAAUGGCACACUUCUUGCACACUAAAUGGUUGCAUUGGAAUUCAACUGGGCUAUUGACAACUUUUUCACAUACAGGGCACUUGAACAAGUCAACAGGGCUUCUGGUGCUACUGUUUCUAUUUGUUGGAUUAGAUCGGUCAAUUUGAUUGCUGGCUGACCUGUGGGAACAAGCCAAUUCUUUUUCACUUUUUUGGGUGGUCUUCCUCCUUUCUUCUGUUGCUGACAACUGGAGCAGGUGUUGCAGUUUUCUGAGUGUGGCAUCCACUCUCUGCAGAGAGGUACAAGAACAGAGGCUCCUUAUCUCUUUGUAAAUCGAUGCAUUGCUAGAUGGCAGCGGACACAGAAAUUGGUAGGAUGCACAGAAACAUCAUCUGUUCCAACAUCUAUCUUAUACAACUGGAGAAUCCUGUCUUUGUGGUUUAGACAUUUGUACUGACGGUCCUCACGAUUGAACCUGGAGCCACAUAACCUGCAAAGCUCUCGUAGGGAAAGGAUGUGAUGCUCCAUAUCCAUAGACUAGACUGACAACACUUGUAAAUUGAUUUACUGUUUCUAUGUACGUCUUAUGUAGUGUAUGGAGUAGAGAAAGGGCGUGAGAGAGUGAUGAGGUAAAGAACUGCUAUAGGUGUACAGUUCAAAUUCAAGGUAUGGAGAACCAGUGUUGGUACACCAUUAGCAAGUUUUUGUGGGAAAGUUCAUUUUACUUACAUCCCAAGUUGCUAGGCAUUGUAAGGCAUAUUUUCUCUAGGCACGUGACCUAGGCCACCUCGUCAUAUUUUCUGCAUAUGACUGCCACAAAGAAUGCAAGUUUCUACGUUUAAAGCCAUUUACACUUCUAAACGUACCCGCGUCUGGCUUCUGAUUGUUACGUUAGGGGGACAGUUCAUGUACACUGCUUGAGAAGUGUAGGCGUAAACUGGUGCUAGAGUUCAUUAGAUCC